rnacentral:rRNA from 1 species
CCUACGGGACGCAGCAGUGGGGAAUAUUGGGCAAUGGGCGCAAGCCUGACCCCGCAACGCCGCGUGACGGAAGAAGGCUUUCGGGUUGUACACUUCUUUUCUCAGGGACGAAGCAAGUGACGGUACCUGAGGAAUAAGCCACGGCUAACUACGUGCCAGCAGCCGAGGUAAUACGUAGGUGGCAAGCGUUAUCCGGAUUUACUGGUUGUAAAGGGCGUGUAGGCGGGGACGCAAGUCAGAUGUGAAAACCACGGGCUCAACCUGUGGCCUGCAGUUGAAACUGUGUUUCUUGAGGACUGGAGAGGCAGACGGAAUUCCUAGUGUAGCGGUGAAAUGCGGAGAUAUUAGGAGGAACACCAGUGGCGAAGGCGGUCUGCUGGACAGCAACUGACGCUGAGGCGCGAAAGCGUGGGGAGCAAACAGGAUGAGAUACCCGUGUAGUC